UGCAGUGAUAUCUUUCAAACGAGCACUGACUCCAUAGGAAGAUGCUGCACACAAUGCUGUCUGCGCUAAGACUUUUCCAAAAAAUUCCUGGCAUUGCUUCCUCUUGAAGAAGGAGAGGCCCCUUCAAAAACGAGCUGCCUUCCUGGGCUGAGCCCCACUGCUCUGCUUCUGCUUUGCUCCCUGGGUGCCCCCAGCAGGCCCCACGUGCCUGACCCAGCACCAUACAACUUCUUCCCCUGUGACAGCACAGCUACAGAAGUUAGUGAAGCAAACAGUUUGAGAGAGCAGAGUCCAGCAGGAGUGCAGAAGAGGUGGGGUGGAGGCCGGCGCUGGAAGGACACCACGUCACUGAAGGUUUCCCAGGUGGUACGCCCACAUCCUGCAGUGCUGCGCUCCGUGUAUUUGACAAGCUGAGUUUGACACUCAAUGUGGCAGAGUGUCAGUUUGUCAAAUACCCCAAGUGAGGCAUUUGCUUAGCAACACACAUCAGCACCACAGAAGAUUGAUUACUUCAUUUGACUGUUUAAUAUUUUCUCUCCGCUGAAAAUACGAAGAACUAUCUAAUAAAUGCAUACUAUGCUUUGCUUCCUGUGCUAGCAGAUUUCCUUAGUGCCCCAAAUUCAGAAGCAUCUGUUUGAACAUGCAUUUGAAUGGUGAGUUUCUACAGAAAUAGGGCCAAAUUUUUGCUGGUACACUUCCAUUGAGUUACACAAGCAGAGAAUUUUGCCCAGAAUUAUUUAGCCAAAGACAAUGCUUGUAACUGAAGUAUUGGUGGCAAUUAGGAGGUGAUGUUGAGUUGUUGUGUGACAAUGGUUUUUUAGUAUAUUCAACUAAGCUAAAGGUUAAGGCAGUUGUGAUCCCACUUACAACACCAUUGCCAAUAACAGAGAAUUUCUUCAUCAGAUGUGUUGAAAUAUUUAUGUAUAAUCAUAGAAGAUGGAGAGGAAAUAGACUUACAGGGCCGUUAUUUCAUUUUCCCUCUUCUGCACCAGCCAGUAUAAGAUUAUUCCCUGCAGUGAAUUCUUCUGUGGUUUGUUUAGUUCUAUUUUAAAUGACUCAUGUGAAGGAGCUUUCAUCACUUUGCUUGGAAGUCCUAGUAAAAUAAAAUCUCAUGUUUAGAAGUCUCCUUCUCUUCAGCCAGUUACUCCCGGUAAGAUCACCUAGCAGAGUUGCCUAUUAUAUUUGCUGUACUUCUGCCGUUGUAUUGAAGCUAUGCUAAGCCAGCUCACAUGAAGAAGACCUAUUUAUUGGCCUACACUUUCAAAAGUGACUUGUGAUUUUGGGUGAGACAUCAUAAAGAGGUCUGAUUUUCAGAGGUUGGGGUGCUCAGCAUAUUUAGAAAAUCGGGUCCCUUCAUGGUGUCUUAAGUUGGACUCUCAAAAACUGAGCCAGAACCCAAAAUCCCUUUUGAAAAUUCAGGCCAUUGUUACUUUGCUAGUGCAAAGGGCUUGUUAGAAAACAACCCUUCUCGCUGUUAUUGGAGCAGUAUCAGCAGCCGAUUGUGCAAUUACAUUUUAUAUUUUAUAUAUAUAUAUAUGGUAUUUCAUCCUUAACUCUCCUUUUUUCUUUAGAUUACGUCCACAUAUUGUAAAAUGUUUUGGAGAUGCUGGGCUUUGUAUGAAGAAUGCUGUCUAUAAAUAAAUGGUUUUGACUUUCUAAGUUA